GACGAACGCUGGCGGUGUGCUUCACACAUGCAAGUCGAACGAGGUAGCAAUACCUAGUGGCGGACGGGUGAGUAACGCGUGGGAAUCUGCCCAUAGGUGGGGGAUAACUAGCCGAAAGGUUAGCUAAUACCGCAUAUGCCGAAAGGUAAAAGGAGUAAUCCGCCUUUGGAUGAGCCCGCGUCCGAUUAGCUAGUUGGUAGAGUAAAAGCCUACCAAGGCGACGAUCGGUAGCUGGUCUGAGAGGAUGAUCAGCCACAAUGGGACUGAGACACGGCCCAUACUCCUACGGGAGGCAGCAGUGGGGAAUUUUACGCAAUGGGGGAAACCCUGACGUAGCGACACCGCGUGAAUGAAGAAGCCCUUUGGGGGUGUAAAAAUUCCGUCGGCUGGGAAGAAAAAAUGACGGUACCAGCAAAGGAAGCAAUCGGCUAACUACGUGCCAGCAGCCG
rnacentral:rRNA from 1 species